AACGAACGCUGGCGGCAUGCCUAACACAUGCAAGUCGAACGGGACGUUCCGGUCUUUGGGCGCAGGGCUGCGUAACACGGGGUAACCUGCCCUUAAGUUCGGAAUAACUCCCCGUAAGGUGUGCUAAUACCGGUGAAUCUCAUCGGACCAAAGAUCUAUGGCCUUGGGAUGGGCCCGCGUUAGAUUAGCUAGUUGGUAGGGUAAAAGCCGGCCAUGGCGAGGUUCCAUAGCUGGUCUGUGAGGAUGAUCUGCCACACUGGCACUGCGACACGGCCCAGACCGCGACGGGAGGGAGCAGAGGGGAGUAUAGUGCGCGGGGCGAAAGCGUGACCCAGCCACGCGGGGGGAGUGAGGAAGGGCUUAGGAUUGUAAAGCUCUUUUAGACGGAAUGAUAAUGACAGUAACGGGAGAAGAAGCACCGGCUAACUCCGUG
rnacentral:rRNA from 1 species